ensembl:lncRNA
CCACAAAGGAGGCCCCCUUGGAGGCCUUCCCCUUGCAGACUCUUAGGACAGAAGCUUCCCUGGCACAGACACUCCACUAGAGAAGAGAGGAGGGGGCUCAAGAAAAUGAGGGAGAGGCCCUCUUACAGGGCAUUCUAGUCUUCAUUUCUGCCCUGACAGGAAAGAGGAGAAUGGAAACGGUCAGUUCUGUAUCGCAGGCCAGUAGAAGGAAAGGAAGGAAAAAAAACCCACCUUGGGCCCAGUGCGCGUGUGUAUGUGUGUGCGAGCCAGUAGCCUCUGUCCAUAGCCAGGAGCCUGGGGCUGCCUUCGUGGUCAGUGGGGUCCAGACUGCACUGCUAACCCUCCCUUCUCUUCUUUCUCCCCCUUCCCCCUGCUCUGUCUGUUUUGUGAGUGCUAUCACCACACUGUCAUUAGCCCAUUUGAAUUUCCUCUUCCCAUGGAGACAGGCUCAUUCCAAGCAGCUGUGGCAUUUGGAGAUCUGGCCAUGGGCUUCUCCCGGAAGGAUGAGGGCCUCUGAUGUCCCUCAGAAGGUUCUCCAGGGAACGUGGGCCCUCUGGGUCCUCCUGGCACUGGCCAACAAAGACAACGCCCUUGGGAUGCCAAGAAGCAGUUUUAUGACUGCUUCUGUUGUGGUGGCAGCUGCUAAGCCCUGCUUCUGAUAUCACCCUCGCUGAAGAGGAGGAAAUGCUCCUUGUUUGCUAUCUGCAUUGGCUGCGGCAGCAGGGAGCACCAGCUGUGACCCCACGACGGGGCCUGGGACCUCAUCCUUGUACCUGGGGCUGUGUGGUCCCUGAUGGGUGGGCACUUGCUGAGGCCACCGGCCACCAGCAUGCAGGGGGCACUGUGUGGGCAUCUUCUGUGUUUCCUUGACCUGGCAGUAAGAGGGAGAGCUGAAGAGCAGGUGACCUCAUGCUAGGGAAUGGAAAGUACCGGGGCAUCUCCCCUCCUCCCUACCCCUACCCAGAGAAAAAGACCUGGAGGAGUCGUUUCUGAGGGCGUCCCAGUGGGGAGGCCAUCGAGAAGCUUGUUUGUGUGAGCUGAGCAGGGCCAGGUGAAGAGGAUGCCAUUCAGUCUGUGUUAGAGAGGAUUUCCUGCUGCCGGGGCCUCUGAGAGGCUCCACAGCCAGAGUCCCCCUGCCACAUGGCAGUGGAGGGAUGCUGAUCCUAGGCAUGUCCUCUGAGUGAUUCUGUUCCAGACAGAGUGGGGACCCUCCUCAGCUGUUCAUGAGAAGCUGCUUCAGGGUCUGUUCAGAGCCAUCGGUGCCCCCCCCCCCCCAGAGGAGCAACUCGAAAUGACUCACGCUUCGUCUCUCUCCAGGGGCCCAGGCAAAUUCUCCUGAAAGCCAAAUGUGGGAGCCACAAAUGCCCCUGCUGGGCCUCAGGACCCUUUGUAGUUCCAAGUGUCAUUUAAGCAUAUUCUGCUGUAACAAGUGAAAGGCUAACAAGCUACAGUAGAAGCCCCUAACCCCCCUCCCCACAUACCUAGACCAGGAAGCCCUCUGGCUUAGACAUAUGUGAGAUCUCCAAAUAAAACACUGCUUUUGUUCA